UACAGAGGCCUCGAGCGUUAGGCGGAAUCACUGGGCUUAAAGCGUGUGUAGGCGGACUUCUAAGUGCCUUGUGAAAUCCCACGGCUCACCCCGUGGAACUGCUGGGCAUACUGGGAGUCUUGAGCCACCCUAGGGGCGAGCGGAACAAAUGGUGGAGCGGUGAAAUGCGUAGAUAUCAUUUGGAACGCCAACGGAGAAAUCAGCUCGCUGGGGGUG
rnacentral:rRNA from 1 species